GCCAGCAGCCAUAUCACCCUGCAACUAAGCUAAGCAGGUGUGAGCCUGGUCAGUACCUGGAUGGGAGACCUCCUGGGAAAAACUAAGGUUGCUGCUGGAA
rnacentral:rRNA from 1 species